GACGAACGCUGGCGGCGUGCUUAACACAUGCAAGUCGAACGAAGUGGCGAACGGGUGAGUAACGCGUAAUCAACCUGCCCUUCAGAGGGGGACAACAGUUGGAAACGACUGCUAAUACCGCAUACUGAAGGAGGUGAUUGCGCCUGAUUAGCUAGUUGGAGGGGUAACGGCCCACCACGGCGAUGAUAAGUAGCCGGUCUGAGAGGAUGAAGGGCCACAUUGGGACUGGGACACGGCCCAGACUCCUACGGAAGGCAGCAGUGGGGAAUCUUCCGCAAUGGACGAAAGUCUGACGGAGCAACGCAGCGUGAGUGAUGACGGCCUUCGGGUUGGAAAGCUCUGUUAAUCGGGACGCGGUACCGGAAUAGAAAGCCACGGCUAACUACGUGCCAGCAGCCGCGGUAAUAC
rnacentral:rRNA from 1 species